rnacentral:rRNA from 1 species
AUUGAACGCUGGCGGCAUGCUUUACACAUGCAAGUCGAACGGUAACAGGCCGCAAGGUGCUGACGAGUGGCGAACGGGUGAGUAAUGCAUCGGAACGUGCCCAGUCGUGGGGGAUAACUACUCGAAAGAGUAGCUAAUACCGCAUACGAUCUAUGGAUGAAAGCGGGGGACCGUAAGGCCUCGCGCGAUUGGAGCGGCCGAUGUCAGAUUAGGUAGUUGGUGGGGUAAAGGCUCACCAAGCCAACGAUCUGUAGCGGGUCUGAGAGGACGACCAGCCACACUGGGACUGAGACACGGCCCAGACUCCUACGGGAGGCAGCAGUGGGGAAUUUUGGACAAUGGGCGCAAGCCUGAUCCAGCAAUGCCGCGUGCAGGAAGAAGGCCUUCGGGUUGUAAACUGCUUUUGUACGGAACGAAACGGCUCUGGUUAAUACCCGGGGCUAAUGACGGUACCGUAAGAAUAAGCACCGGCUAACUACGUG